GUAGACGCAGAGAACUGAAACAUCUUAGUACCUGCAGGAAGAGAAAGAAAAUUCGAUUCCCUGAGUAGCGGCGAGCGAAACGGGAAGAGCCCAAACCAACAAGCUUGCUUGUUGGGGUUGUAGGACUCCAAUAUGGUAGUCUGUUAGUAUAGUUGAAGGAUUUGGAAAAUUCCGCUAAAGAGGGUGAAAGCCCCGUAGACGAAAUGCUAGCAACACCUAGGAGGAUCCUGAGUACGGCGGAACACGAGAAAUUCCGUCGGAAUCCGCGGGGACCAUCCCGCAAGGCUAAAUACUCCCUAGUGACCGAUAGUGAACCAGUACCGUGAGGGAAAGGUGAAAAGCACCCCGGAAGGGGAGUGAAAUAGAUCCUGAAACCGUGUGCCUACAACAAGUCAAAGCUCGUUAAUGAGUGAUGGCGUGCCUUUUGUAGAAUGAACCGGCGAGUUACGAUUGCAUGCGAGGUUAAGUCGAAGAGACGGAGCCGCAGCGAAAGCGAGUCUGAAUAGGGCGAAUGAGUAUGUAGUCGUAGACCCGAAACCAUGUGAUCUACCCAUGUCCAGGUUGAAGGUGCGGUAAAACGCACUGGAGGACCGAACCCACG
rnacentral:rRNA from 1 species